rnacentral:rRNA from 1 species
GAGCGGAGUUGAUAGGAAGCUUGCUUCCUUGAUACUUAGCGGCGGACGGGUGAGUAACACGUAGGCAACCUGCCCUCAAGUUUGGGACAACUACCGGAAACGGUAGCUAAUACCGAAUAGUUGUUUUCUUCGCCUGAAGGAAACUGGAAAGACGGAGCAAUCUGUCACUUGGGGAUGGGCCUGCGGCGCAUUAGCUAGUUGGUGGGGUAACGGCUCACCAAGGCGACGAUGCGUAGCCGACCUGAGAGGGUGAUCGGCCACACUGGGACUGAGACACGGCCCAGACUCCUACGGGAGGCAGCAGUAGGGAAUCUUCCGCAAUGGGCGAAAGCCUGACGGAGCAAUGCCGCGUGAGUGAUGAAGGUUUUCGGAUCGUAAAGCUCUGUUGCCAGGGAAGAACGCUUGGGAGAGUACUGCUCUCAAGGUGACGGUACCUGAGAAGAAAGC